UACGAGGGGUGCAAGCGUUGUCCGGAAUCACUGGGCGUAAAGGGUCCGUAGGCGUUUCAAUAAGUCAUUUGUGAAAUACACCGGCUUAACCGGUGGCCCGCAUUUGAAACUAUUGAAAUCGAGUAUAGGAGAGGAAAGUGGAAUUCCUGGUGUAGCGGUGACAUGCGUAGAUAUCAGGAGGAACACCAAUGGCGAAGGCAGCUUUCUGGCCUAUUACUGACGCUGAGGGACGAAAGCGUGGGGAGCGAACAGG
rnacentral:rRNA from 1 species